rnacentral:rRNA from 1 species
UACAGAGGUCCCGAGCGUUGUUCGGAUUCACUGGGCGUAAAGGGUGCGUAGGUGGUUAGGUAAGUCCGAUGUGAAAUCUCCAGGCUCAACCUGGAAAUGGCAUUGGAUACUAUUUAGCUUGAGGAGUGGAGGGGGGACUGGAAUUCUCGGUGUAGCAGUGAAAUGCGUAGAUAUCGAGAGGAACACCAGUGGCGAAGGCGGUUACCUGGAGCUUUGCUGACGCUGAUGCGCGAAAGCGUGGGGAGCGAUCCGG